ACUUACCCUAAUCUCGAUUCGAGGAGGUAGUGACAAGAAAUACCGAUGCGGGACCCUACGGGUGCCGCGUUCGGAAUGAGUACGAUUCGAACCACCUAACGAGGAACGAUCGGAGGGCAAGUCUGGUGCCAGCAGCCGCGGUAAUUCCAGCUCCAAUAGCGUACGUUAAAGUUGCUGCAGUUAAAAAGCUCGUAGUUGAAUUUCUGAUUAUGGAUGUAGCGGUUUCCGUUACAUUUUGUAGUCAUCCACAUGAGAACCUUUCUCGGCCUUCACUGGUCGGUUGGGGGAUCAUGUACUUUACUUUGAAAAAAUCAGAGUGUUUCAGGCAGGCGUUUGCAUGAAUACACAAGCAUGGAUAAUGGAAGGUAGGACUAGGUCCAUUUUAUUGGUUUAUUGGUACCAUAGUAAUGAUUAAUA
rnacentral:rRNA from 1 species